rnacentral:rRNA from 1 species
AGCAGUCGCCACGGAAUACAGAGGGUGCGAGCGUUAAUCGGAUUUACUGGGCGUAAAGCGUGCGUAGGCGGCUAAUUGAGUCGGAUGUGAAAUCCCCGAGCUUAACUUGGGAAUUGCAUUCGAUACUGGUUAGCUAGAGUAUGGGAGAGGAUGGUAGAAUUCCAGGUGUAGCGGUGAAAUGCGUAGAGAUCUGGAGGAAUACCGAUGGCGAAGGCAGCCAUCUGGCCUAAUACUGACGCUGAGGUACGAAAGCAUGGGGAGCAAACAGGAUUAGAGACCCCCGUAGUCCCUGUCUCUUAUACA